UACGUAGGGGGCAAGCGUUGUCCGGAUUUAUUGGGCGUAAAGAGCGUGUAGGCGGCCAGGUAGGUCCGUUGUGAAAACUCGAGGCUCAACCUCGAGACGUCGGCGGAAACCCUCUGGCUAGAGUCCGGAAGAGGAGAGUGGAAUUCCGUGGUGUAGCGGUGAAAUGCGCAGAUAUCAGGAAGAACACCCGUGGCGAAGGCGGCUCUCUGGGACGGUACUGACGCUGAGACGCGAAAGCGUGGGGAGCAAACAGG
rnacentral:rRNA from 1 species